UACGGAGGGUGCAAGCGUUAUCCGGAUUCACUGGGUUUAAAGGGUGCGUAGGUGGGUUGAUAAGUCAGUGGUGAAAUCCCCGAGCUUAACUUGGGAACUGCCAUUGAUACUAUUGAUCUUGAAUACCGUGGAGGUCAGCGGAAUAUGUCAUGUAGCGGUGAAAUGCUUAGAUAUCAAGUGGAACACCAGUGGCGAAGGCGAGUCUCUGGACAUUUCCUGACGCUGAGGCACGAAAGCCAGGGGAGCAAACGGG
rnacentral:rRNA from 1 species